GAAGAGAACUUUUUAGAGGCUACAUACCUACCGCGUUGUUAGAUAGCUAGUUUUCUGACAUCCUUAUACCAGUAAAAGAAAUAAUUAAUUAUUAUCCCAUUUAUUAAGGAAUAAGCCUUAAUAAUUAACCUCAUCCAUAAACAAGUUUCCCUUCACUAGUAGGAUUAAUAGUAUCCAUCAAUAUUAUAGAAUUAUAUCAAACCAACCCCCUAAAACCCAAUAUAUCCUUAAGGAUAGGGUAUAUAUCAGAAUGGCCCUUUAAACCAUAACUAGGACAUACAUAUGCUAGGAUAAGUAUUCAUAUUACACAUUACUCUAAUCAACUUUAAUAUUUCUCUUAAACCUACUCCUAAUUACAGAUAUAAAAGGAACUCGGCAAAACCAUGCCUCGACUGUUUACCAAAAACAUUGCCCUUAGAAUCAUACAUUAAGGGUUCGUCCUGCCCAGUGACUACGUGUUCAACGGCCGCGGUACCCUGACCGUGCAAAGGUAGCAUAAUCACUCGCCUUUUAAUUGGAGGCUAGCAUGAAUGGAUAAACGAGGGCAAAGCUGUCUCUUUCAUCCCCCUAAAAGUUAGUCUCCAGGUGAAGACACCUGGAUAAAAAUGAAAGACAAGAAGACCCUGUUGAGCUUUACCCUAAUUACCUUUAAUUUUUAAUAGUUUUAAAAUUAAUUCUUGCUACUUGGGUUCUGUUGGGGCGACAAAGGAAUAAACCAAUCUUCCUCUACCUUAUAGACUUCUAGUCCUAUCUAUGACCCUUCCCAGAUCAAAGAAAUCAGCUACCACAGGGAUAACAGGCUAAUUCUUCUUGAGAGCCCACAUUAACAGAAGAGUUUGGCACCUCGAUGUUGGCUUGGGGGAACCUAUAUGGUGCAGCAGCC
rnacentral:rRNA from 1 species